GGUAACCUGCCCCUGUGCGGGGGAUAACAGGAGGAAACUCCUGCUAAUACCGCAUAGCCAUGAGCACCGCAUGGAGCUCAUGCCAAAUAUCCUUUCGGGGAUAGCGCAUGGAUGGACCUAUGGCGCAUUAGCUGGUUGGCGGGGCAACGGCCCACCAAGGCAACGAUGCGUAGCCGGCCUGAGAGGGCGGACGGCCACAUUGGGACUGAGACACGGUCCAGACUCCUACGGGAGGCAGCAGUAGGGAAUUUUCGGCAAUGGGGGAAACCCUGACCGAGCAACGCCGCGUGAGCGAAGAAGGCCUUCGGGUCGUAAAGCUCUGUUGUAAAGGAAGAACGGCGCAUACAGGAAAUGGUAUGCGAGUGACGGUACUUUACCAGAAAGCCACGGCUAACUACGUGCCAGCAGCCGCGGUAAUACGUAGGUGGCGAGCGUUAUCCGGAAUCAUUGGGCGUAAAGAGGGAGCAGGCGGCCGCAAGGGUCUGUGGUGAAAGACCGAAGCUAAACUUCGGUAAGCCAUGGAAACCGGGCGGCUAGAGUGCGGAAGAGGAUCGUGGAAUUCCAUGUGUAGCGGUGAAAUGCGUAGAUAUAUGGAGGAACACCAGUGGCGAAGGCGACGGUCUGGGCCGCAACUGACGCUCAUUCCCGAAAGCGUGGGGAGCAAAUAGGAUUAGAUAC
rnacentral:rRNA from 1 species